rnacentral:rRNA from 1 species
UACGUAGGUGGCAAGCGUUGUCCGGAUUUACUGGGCGUAAAGAGCGCGCAGGCGGUCGUUCAAGUCGCGUGUGAAAGCCCCCGGCUCAACUGGGGAGGGUCACGCGAUACUGAUCGACUCGAAGGCAGGAGAGGGAAGUGGAAUUCCCGGUGUAGUGGUGAAAUGCGCAGAUAUCAGGAGGAACACCAGCGGCGAAGGCGGCGCUCUGGGCCGGAACUGACGCUGAGGAGCGAAAGCGUGGGUAGCAAACAGG